rnacentral:rRNA from 1 species
AGCAGCCGCGGUAAUUCCAGCUCCAAUAGCGUAUAUUAAAGUUGUUGCAGUUAAAAAGCUCGUAGUUGAAUUUCGGGAUCAAUAUGUUGGUCGUGCCUUGGUACGUACUGGCAUUAUUGGUUUCUACCUUCUGAAGAACCUCGAUGUCAUUAAUUUGGUGUCUUGGGGAAUCAGGACUGUUACUUUGAAAAAAUUAGAGUGUUUAAAGCAGGCUCGCGCUUGAAUACAUUAGCAUGGAAUAAUGAAAUAGGACGUUUGAUUCUAUUUUGUUGGUUUCUAGGAUCGACGUAAUGAUUAAUAGGGAUAGUUGGGGGCAUUAGUAUUCAAUUGUCAGAGGUGAAAUUCUUGGAUUUAUUGAAGACUAACUACUGCGAAAGCAUUUGCCAAGGAUGUUUUCAUUAAUCAAGAACGAAAGUUAGGGGAUCGAAGACGAUCAGAUACCGUCGUAGUCUUAACCAUAAACUAUGCCGACUAGGGAUCGGAUGAUGUUAAUUUUUUAAUGACUCA